rnacentral:tRNA from 1 species
GGUAGCGUUGCCGAGUGGUCUAAGGCGCUGGUUUUAGGCACCAGUCUCUCCGGAGGCAUGGGUUCGAAUCCCACCGCUGCCA